AGUAGUUGCAACUCAUUCCCACACAUAUAUCAUCAAAAAUUAACUCUCUUUCCUAAAGAUAAUAAUAUAAUUAAUGGGGCGCUUCACUGCAGUUCUCUUGGUGCUUGUCCUAGUCAUGGUCACUGAAAUAGGGCCGAUGGUGGGAGAGGCAAGGACGUGUUUGUCGCAAAGCCAGCGUUUCAGGGGGCCUUGCGUGAGCGACACCAACUGCAGAUUGGUUUGCCACAACGAGGGCUUCUCCGGCGGCGACUGCCAGGGCUUCCGCCGCCGCUGCUUCUGCACCAAACAUUGCUGAUCCAUGACGACGUCAACCCCAAUCGUAUCGUAUCGUAUCGUAUCGUAUCGUAUCGCUUCCUUUGCUGCUGGCCGGCAUGACUUAUUAGUUAGUGAUGGAUGUGUAUCGGAUUUCCGGAGUGUUUUUCUUUCUGUUUUCGAGUACUUAAUUAAGAAGUCUCUCGUGGUGAGACUUUGAAUGUGGUGUGUUUGUAAUAAUGCGAUCGCGCGAGUAAUGUGUUUGUGACAAUAAAAUGGAGUCUUACUCUUCAUCACCGAUUCA